CGCGUCUUAAACCGGAAGUACGACCUAUAUCAUUAGCUCGAAUGCGCAUGUGCUGAAGAUUCCAGGCUGUGCCGAUUAUUAAACGCGAGCCGCUAUUUAAAGAUUUUAACUCAUGACCACAAGUGACGCGAUGCCUGGAUCAGAAACAUACCUAAAUCCAUAUGGACGGAUUGCACACUCACUGACAUCUCAGGCCUGGUUCUGCAGACUGGAUGCCCAGGCCCGGUUCUGGGUCCGGCAGUGCAACAGGCAUCCUGCUGCAGGCUGGGUCCAACCCAAACAGAGCAGCUUCAUGCAGAAGGUGAGCAAUUCUGCUGCUGCUCUGUUUGCUCAGCAUGCUAACAUUUCAGAGAUCCGGCUGGCUGGAUCUCUUCAUCACCGUCCUCUGCAGACGUAACUUUUCUUCUCCUUCUUCUUCCCCUCAGAUGGCGACAGAGCUGUGUGUGCUUAUGUGUGUGUGCCACUUUUUAAUGAGCAUUUUCUAGACAGGUUGAUGUGAUGAGGACUGGUGCUUUCCUUUCCUCAGAGAUGGGAAAUGAUGGUGGCAACCAAAAAUUUCUAAUUAGAAAAUAAACAAACCAGUAACUCACAUGUCUCUUUUAGUUUAUCACCUUUAAGAUAAAAAGCCAAACUUUUCUGAAUUUGUUUUGUAUUUCAGGUGGGUUUUUUCCUCCAUUGAUAGGUUUGUAUGCUGUGCACCUCCUCCUGCACCUACACAGUCACUUUCUCUGAUGCAUAUCCCCACCAGACAUUCUCCAAUGAGAAGAGACAUCGCCACUGGGUUUUUGAUCGUUUUUAGAUUCCAGCAGCAGGGCUUUUACGUGCUGUUCCAUCUGUACUGCAGGGGGAGGAUAUUCGGACAUUGUUUUCAUAGAAGAAUUGAAAACUCUUUUCAACAUUUUAGUGAUUUAUUGUUCUCAACCUGGAGGGCAAACCUCCUCCGGGUGGAAAUGAUGACUUUUUUAGGUCACAGUAAGAUUAAAGGGAUAAUGAUGGGACAAAACCAACAAUAAAACUAUUUUCUUUCUCUCUGCCGGCAAUUAUAAAACCUGUAUCAAAAUAAUCUUUCCCAAUCAUGUCUCAUAACAUAGUAGGAAUGAAUGUUGGUAUUUCUGAUCCUCAUUGUCGUGUCUGUAUUUCACUUGUUUUUUUCCUUUUUCUGUGUUGUACGUGGGGAGUGCGUUCUUGGCUGGAGCAAAUAGGCAGAGAUAGUGGAGACUCCAGCCAAUGACAGUUUAGAAUGUGGCUAAAAAAUGAAGCAGUUAAUUAAAUCUGUCUCAGAAAUACUCAGAAAGUUUUUGGCAGGAAUCUCAGAUGAAAUCUUCUGAGCCAUAAUCUUUGCAAAGAAUUGUGGAUGUUUGUGUGUUUUAGACAAUAGCUCCUGUGAAGCAAUCAGUAAUUAUGUUUAACUGCUCUGAAUUAGUUUUGUUGUUGUUUUUUCAGAGACAGGCAGCAGUUAGCCACUGCAGCGUUUGAUGCCAAAUGGGAACUCUGAGAUUCUUUAAAGGAAACAAGAAGUGACUAGAAGAUACAUUUUCUUUUUAAAAAAUGUCCAGUUUCCUAAGUAGUUUUGGUUGAAAUUUACCAUAUCAAAAUCAAAAUGAAUUCAGACUUCCUAGAGUGUUUGCAGCAUGAAGACAACCCUGGUCCUCCCAAAAGGAAUAAGUUCCUCUUUGAAAACUGUACUUAAAUACAGCCUAUGAGAGUCCAAGUUGUAAAAUAUUUCUUAGCUGAAUAAAUAAAAUAACACGUA